UACGUAGGGGGGCAAGCGUUGUCCGGAUUUAUUGGGCGUAAAGAGCGUGUAGGCGGCUUGGUAGGUCCGCUGUGAAAACUCGAGGCUCAACCUCGAGAUGUCGGCGGAAACCACUUGGCUAGAGUCCGGAAGAGGAGAGUGGAAUUCCUGGUGUAGCGGUGAAAUGCGCAGAUAUCAGGAAGAACACCCGUGGCGAAGGCGGCUCUCUGGGACGGUACUGACGCUGAGACGCGAAAGCGUGGGGAGCGAACAGG
rnacentral:rRNA from 1 species